UGCUGACUGCUGUGUGCGCCCAUUUUUGGUAGCUGGCCCGAACCGAUAUGAUUGAACCGGGAUCAUCUUCCAACGUAAUAUGUCAUGCCUUCUUAGGAAGACGGAAAAGCGAUGGACGAUCCCACUUAUUGAGUUUACGGAACGUGGCUCACAGCGCCAAGGACGGCACAGCGGUUAUCUU
rnacentral:sRNA from 1 species